rnacentral:rRNA from 1 species
GUCAGCCGCCGCGGGAACACCGGCGGCCCGAGUGGUGAUCGUGAUUAUUGGGUCUAAAGGGUCCGUAGCCGGUUUGGUCAGUCCUCCGGGAAAUCUGAUAGCUCAACUAUUAGGCUUUCGGGGGAUACUGCCAGACUUGGAACCGGGAGAGGUAAGAGGUACUACAGGGGUAGGAGUGAAAUCUUGUAAUCCCUGUGGGACCACCUGUGGCGAAGGCGUCUUACCAGAACGGGUUCGACGGUGAGGGACGAAAGCUGGGGGCACGAACCGGAUUAGAUACCCGGGUAGUCCCAGCCGUAAACGAUGCUCGCUAGGUGUCAGGCAUGGCGCGACCGUGUCUGGUGCCGCAGGGAAGCCGUGAAGCGAGCCACCUGGGAAGUACGGCCGCAAGGCUGAAACUUAAAGGAAUUGGCGGGGGAGCACAACAACGGGUGGAAGCCUGCGGUUUAAUUGGACUCAACGCCGGACAACUCACCGGGGGCGACAGCAAUAUGUAGGCCAAGCUGAAGACUUUGCCUGAAUCGCUGAGAAGAGGUGCAUGG